GAUCCGAAAUGGGUGUAGCGUCUGAAAAACUCAGAAAUCACGUGUUGCCAUCAGCUUCUUCCUCUGCAUUCGACAGGAUAUUGGAGUUAAAUAACAACACUACAUUU